rnacentral:rRNA from 1 species
GAUGAACGCUAGCGGCAGGCCUAAUACAUGCAAGUCGAACGAUACCAGAGAGCUUGCUUUCUGGGAAAGUGGCGCACGGGUGCGUAACGCGUAUGCAACCUACCUUAAUCAGGGGGAUAGCCUCUCGAAAGAGAGAUUAACACCGCAUAACAUCAUUUUACGGCAUCGUAGAAUGAUCAAAUAUUUAUAGGAUUAAGAUGGGCAUGCGUGACAUUAGCUAGUUGGUGAGGUAACGGCGCACCAAGGCUACGAUGUCUAGGGGAUCUGAAAGGAGAACCCACCACACUGGUACUGAGACACGGACCAGACUCCUACUGGAGGCAGCAGUAAGGAAUAUUGGUAAAUGGAGGCAACUCUGAACCAGCCAUGCCGCGUGCAGGAAGACGGCCCUAUGGGUUUUAAACUGCUUUUAUACGGGAAUAAACCUCUCUACGUGUAGGGAGUUGAAUGUACUGUAAGAAUAAGGAUCGGCUAACUCCGUGCCAGCCGCCGCAGUAA